AGACCCGAAACCCGGUGAUCUAGCCAUGGGCAGGUUGAAGGUUGGGUAACACUAACUGGAGGACCGAACCGACUAAUGUUGAAAAAUUAGCGGAUGACUUGUGGCUGGGGGUGAAAGGCCAAUCAAACCGGGAGAUAGCUGGUUCUCCCCGAAAGCUAUUUAGGUAGCGCCUCGUGAAUUCAUCUCCGGGGGUAGAGCACUGUUUCGGCAAGGGGGUCAUCCCGACUUACCAACCCGAUGCAAACUGCGAAUACCGGAGAAUGUUAUCACGGGAGACACACGGCGGGUGCUAACGUCCGUCGUGAAGAGGGAAACAACCCAGACCGCCAGCUAAGGUCCCAAAGUCAUGGUUAAGUGGGAAACGAUGUGGGAAGGCCCAGACAGCCAGGAUGUUGGCUUAGAAGCAGCCAUCAUUUAAAGAAAGCGUAAUAGCUCACUGGUCGAGUCGGCCUGCGCGGAAGAUGUAACGGGGCUAAACCAUGCACCGAAGCUGCGGCAGCGACACUGUGUGUUGUUGGGUAGGGGAGCGUUCUGUAAGCCUGUGAAGGUGUGCUGUGAGGCAUGCUGGAGGUAUCAGAAGUGCGAAUGCUGACAUAAGUAACGAUAAAGCGGGUGAAAAGCCCGCUCGCCGGAAGACCAAGGGUUCCUGUCCAACGUUAAUCGGGGCAGGGUGAGUCGACCCCUAAGGCGAGGCCGAAAGGCGUAGUCGAUGGGAAACAGGUUAAUAUUCCUGUACUUGGUGUUACUGCGAAGGGGGGACGGAGAAGGCUAUGUUGGCCGGGCGACGGUUGUCCCGGUUUAAGCGUGUAGGCUGGUUUUCCAGGCAAAUCCGGAAAAUCAAGGCUGAGGCGUGAUGACGAGGCACUACGGUGCUGAAGCAACAAAUGCCCUGCUUCCAGGAAAAGCCUCUAAGCAUCAGGUAACAUCAAAUCGUACCCCAAACCGACACAGGUGGUCAGGUAGAGAAUACCAAGGCGCUUGAGAGAACUCGGGUGAAGGAACUAGGCAAAAUGGUGCCGUAACUUCGGGAGAAGGCACGCUGAUAUGUAGGUGAAGUCCCUCGCGGAUGGAGCUGAAAUCAGUCGAAGAUACCAGCUGGCUGCAACUGUUUAUUAAAAACACAGCACUGUGCAAACACGAAAGUGGACGUAUACGGUGUGACGCCUGCCCGGUGCCGGAAGGUUAAUUGAUGGGGUCAGCGCAAGCGAAGCUCUUGAUCGAAGCCCCGGUAAACGGCGGCCGUAACUAUAACGGUCCUAAGGUAGCGAAAUUCCUUGUCGGGUAAGUUCCGACCUGCACGAAUGGCGUAAUGAUGGCCAGGCUGUCUCCACCCGAGACUCAGUGAAAUUGAACUCGCUGUGAAGAUGCAGUGUACCCGCGGCAAGACGGAAAGACCCCGUGAACCUUUACUAUAGCUUGACACUGAACAUUGAGCCUUGAUGUGUAGGAUAGGUGGGAGGCUUUGAAGUGUGGACGCCAGUCUGCAUGGAGCCGACCUUGAAAUACCACCCUUUAAUGUUUGAUGUUCUAACGUGGACCCGUGAUCCGGGUUGCGGACAGUGUCUGGUGGGUAGUUUGACUGGGGCGGUCUCCUCCUAAAGAGUAACGGAGGAGCACGAAGGUUGGCUAAUCCUGGUCGGACAUCAGGAGGUUAGUGCAAUGGCAUAAGCCAGCUUGACUGCGAGCGUGACGGCGCGAGCAGGUGCGAAAGCAGGUCAUAGUGAUCCGGUGGUUCUGAAUGGAAGGGCCAUCGCUCAACGGAUAAAAGGUACUCCGGGGAUAACAGGCUGAUACCGCCCAAGAGUUCAUAUCGACGGCGGUGUUUGGCACCUCGAUGUCGGCUCAUCACAUCCUGGGGCUGAAGUAGGUCCCAAGGGUAUGGCUGUUCGCCAUUUAAAGUGGUACGCGAGCUGGGUUUAG
rnacentral:rRNA from 1 species